rfam:Nematostella vectensis strain CH2 x CH6 NEMVEscaffold_1333_Cont35673, whole genome shotgun sequence.
GCCGUGAUCGUAUAGUGGUUAGUACACUCCUUUCUGGACGCAAUAACUCAGGUUCGAAUUCUGGGUCACGGCA